rnacentral:lncRNA from 1 species
GAGAGAUAGAGAAAGAAACAAAGAGAAGGAACCUCGACAAUCGACGCUACAUACGGCAUGCAUCUUCGUUUCUACCGGAUCGCUAACGAGAGGGGAGAGCUGUUAAAAAGAAGAAAAAAACGACUCGAGUCAUCGCAGGAAAAGGAAUUAAUUUGAAUCUGGCGACUCGUAACGUUUUGCUAGUGGGAGAUAGAGGAAACUCGUCAUCGGAGAUAGGAGCAAAGACGACUGUCUUCUACUCCGUCUCCCUGUCUCUAAUCGGAGAUUGGCCUCGGAUCUCGUGCUCCUUCGCUCGAGUUACGUCGAAUACUUCCGAGAUAAGCUCGUUACUUAACCCUUCUCUCUUCCUCGGAGUCAUCUCUAUAAACCUUGGAUCGAAUUAAACGCGCUGCGACGACUCUCGGCUAGAAACUAAUAUGCGCCAUUUCGUAUGAUCCUAGGACGGAGAUCAUUUCGCCGAGGUUUCUACCAAUUGUUCGUCUCGUAAAGAAUAAGUGACUCGAGUGAAAAGUAUUUUUUCUAUUCGAAUGCAUCAAAGUUACGCUAUCGCGCGACGCACAUGCCCGAAGCAAAUAGACGGUACACAGCCUGGCAAGUUUCACUUUAGAAAUCCUGCGCGAUUAUUAGUUGAACAAGUAGUUGCCAGCUCUCCGAGCGGGAUUUCGAGGAAAGCGAAUGA